rnacentral:rRNA from 1 species
UACGAAGGGAGCGAGCGUUAUUCGGAAUCACUGGGCGUAAAGCGUGCGUAGGCGGACAAGAAAGUCAGAAGUGAAAUCCCAAGGCUUAACCAUGGAAUUGCUUUUGAAACUUCUUGUCUGGAGUAUGGUAGAGGAUAGCGGAAUUCCGAGUGUAGAGGUGAAAUUCGCAGAUAUUCGGAGGAACACCAGUUGCGAAGGCGGCUAUCUGGACCAUUACUGACGCUGAGGUACGAAAGCAUGGGGAUCAAACAGG